UACAGAGACUGCAAGCGUUAUUCGGAUUCACUGGGCGUAAAGGGUGCGCAGGCGGUUGGGUGUGUCAGAUGUGAAAUCCCGAGGCUCAACCUCGGAACUGCGUCUGAAACUACUCGACUAGAGUACUGGAGAGGGUAACGGAAUUCACGGUGUAGCAGUGAAAUGCGUAGAUAUCAGGAGGAACACCGAUGGCGAAGGCAGGUCUCUGGGCUGACACUGACGCUCAUGCACGAAAGCGUGGGGAGCAAACAGG
rnacentral:rRNA from 1 species